GCUAUGUAGGGAAGGGAUAAACGCUGAAAGCAUCUAAGUGUGAAACCCACCUCAAGAUGAGAUUUCCCAUGAUUUUAUAUCAGUAAGAGCCCUGAGAGAUGAUCAGGUAGAUAGGUUAGAAGUGGAAGUGUGGCGACACAUGUAGCGGACUAAUACUAAUAGCUCGAGGACUUAUCCAA
rnacentral:rRNA from 1 species